AGAGCGAACGCUGGCGGCAGGCCUAACACAUGCAAGUCGAACGGACUCUUCGGAGUUAGUGGCGGACGGGUGAGUAGCACGUGGGAACGUGCCUUUAGGUUCGGAAUAGCUCCUGGAAACGGGUGGUAAUGCCGAAUGUGCCCUUCGGGGGAAAGAUUUAUCGCCUUUAGAGCGGCCCGCGUCUGAUUAGCUAGUUGGUGAGGUAAAGGCUCACCAAGGCUACGAUCAGUAGCUGGUCUGAGAGGAUGACCAGCCACAUUGGGACUGAGACACGGCCCAAACUCCUACGGGAGCAGCAGUGGGAAUCUUGCGCAAUGGGCGAAAGCCUGACGCAGCCAUGCCGCGUGAAUGAUGAAGGUCUAGAUUGUAAAAUUCUUACAGUAGGGACGAUAAUGACGGUACCUAACGAGAAGAAGACCCGGCUAACUUCGUGCCAGCAGCCGAC
rnacentral:rRNA from 1 species